ensembl:snRNA U1 U1 spliceosomal RNA
AAAGUUGCAGGAGACCGGCCCUCUAGGCCUGGAGUUGCCCACCCCUGCUGUAGGUGGAUCUCCAGGGUGAGGAUCAGCCAUUGCACUGAGGCGAUCUGACCUCUGUGAAUUCUCCACAUGGGAGAAUCUCAACUGCACAAUUUAUGGUAGUGGGGGACUGGGUUCGCGCUCUCCCCUG